UAGAGUUUGAUCAUGGCUCAGGACGAACGCUGGCGGCGUGCCUAAUACAUGCAAGUCGAACGAACUCUGGUAUUGAUUGGUGCUUGCAUCAUGAUUUACAUUUGAGUGAGUGGCGAACUGGUGAGUAACACGUGGGAAACCUGCCCAUAAGCGGGGGAUAACACCUGGAGACAGAUGCUAAUACCGCAUAACAACUUGGACCGCAUGGUCCGAGCUUGAAAGAUGGCUUCGGCUAUCACUUUUGGAUGGUCCCGCGGCGUAUUAGCUAGAUGGUGGGGUAACGGCUCACCAUGGCAAUGAUACGUAGCCGACCUGAGAGGGUAAUCGGCCACAUUGGGACUGAGACACGGCCCAAACUCCUACGGGAGGCAGCAGUAGGGAAUCUUCCACAAUGGACGAAAGUCUGAUGGAGCAACGCCGCGUGAGUGAAGAAGGGUUUCGGCUCGUAAAACUCUGUUGUUAAAGAAGAACAUAUCUGAGAGUAACUGUUCAGGUAUUGACGGUAUUUAACCAGAAAGCCACGGCUAACUACGUGCCAGCAGCCGCGGUAAUACGUAGGUGGCAAGCGUUGUCCGGAUUUAUUGGGCGUAAAGCGAGCGCAGGCGGUUUUUUAAGUCUGAUGUGAAAGCCUUCGGCUCAACCGAAGAAGUGCAUCGGAAACUGGGAAACUUGAGUGCAGAAGAGGACAGUGGAACUCCAUGUGUAGCGGUGAAAUGCGUAGAUAUAUGGAAGAACACCAGUGGCGAAGGCGGCUGUCUGGUCUGUAACUGACGC
rnacentral:rRNA from 1 species